CUUUGUGUGGCACCUUGUUCUGAGAGUAACUGAAUGAGAACAAGGUUCUGCACAAAGGA
rnacentral:pre_miRNA from 1 species